CCGAGAUCUUUUCUUUCAAAACAUGAGCAGCUUUUCAGAGAUUUUCUAUGGGCUUAUACAGCGGUAGUAGAGAUAUACAUCUUCUCAGCUCGGAUGUUGUCUGUGAGUAUUUAUUCCUUGUUUAUCCAUCGAGAGGUUUUGAUUGCCAGGUAUGGUGUGAGAUUUUUAAAUCAACUGGAUGGUCUACAGAGCAUGAUGAAACGGGCUAGAUAUGGUUGGGGACUUCAAAGAGAGCUGUUGUUAGAGGCCGAAGGAGCUCCUUUAUAUGGAAGG
rnacentral:lncRNA from 1 species